AUGCAGAAGAAGCUGGGUUAACCAGCCCAGUGACUCUCGGGACUGGUGUAGAAGCAUGAAGUGGUGGAGAGGCGCAUAUUACCUAUGGGCAGAAGAGGUGUUCCUGUUGAGGAAGAGGCAGAAAAGAGAGAGCACUCCAUUCUCUAGGUCCCUGGCCCCUGUUCCACCCAGGACUUGAGUUUAUUUAUUUAUUUAUUUAUUUAUUUGAGACACAGUCUUGCUCUGUCACCCAGGCUGGAGUGCAGUGGCG
rnacentral:lncRNA from 10 species